ACCUGGCUGGCUCAGUCGGUAGAGGAUGGGACUCUUGAUCUCAGGGUUGUAGGUUUGAGCCCCAUGUUGGGUG
rnacentral:tRNA from 1 species